CACGUCAGCGCGCUUUGCUGACAUGGACUCAAAUUGUGCUUACGUGGACGCGAUUUGCUGCCACGUCAGCAAAGCGCACUGACGUGG
rfam:Gossypium raimondii Chr13_contig_689, whole genome shotgun sequence.